UGUGUGUGUGUGCCCCCCUCCCUCACCCUCCUCCCCUCCACCCCCCACCCUCUCCCUUCAGUGAGGCAGCAUACUGGUAUGCUUCACUGGCACAGUGGCCCUGGCUGCAAGCACUGAUUCCGUGGUUCGAUGCUCUGUGCGCUUUUACUUUACCUCUCUCUCUCUCUCCCUCUCUCUCUCUUUCCCUCCUUCGCUGUCUCCCGAUGUCCCUCGCUCACUCGCUCGCUGCCUUUCUGUCCCUUUCCGUCGUCGUCUACCUGUCCUAGCUAACCUUUAAGUAUCACUUCCUUUCAGCGUUUCGUUUGCUGGGAAGGGGGAUCGUCGCGCCGACUCUCUCUCUCGUGAUUCUGCUCCCUAGACUGCUCACUGUGUGUGUGUGUGUGUGUGUGUGUGUGUGUGUGUGUGUGAAAGAGAACGAGAGAGAGUGAACAGAUAGAGGGAGAGAGAGUGUGCACAUGGUUCAUUUCGGCUCUGUCCUACCACCCAUCCUCAUGCCUCUCUUUCUUGUCUCCGUCCGUCGCUCUCUUCCCAUUUAUUGCGCCUGACUUCGAGCAGCUCGCCGGAUGGACGGACCUCUUCUUAAAAAAAAACCCUCUCCUUCUUCUUCUUCUUCUUCUGAAAAUAACUGGAAUCUUGUUGGCAUGCUCCUGUCAGACCAGGUCAGGACAUGUCGAGGAAUGGUCUGUGAACAUGAGACGGAUACGGCAGCCACACUGAAGCAAGCUUUAACUGCCCAUACACACACGCACACACACUUGUGUGGCGUACAUGAUAUCUUGACCCUGACAUACAUACAUAUAUAUAUAUAUAUAUACAUACAUACAGCUGGACUGAUAUACAAACAUGACUUUUAGCUAAAGUGAUAUCUUUGUUUUUGUUAAUGUGCUGAGGUACUGCUUUUCCACAUGAUGUCUGUCCUUUGUAAUAUAAAAAUAUUUGAUGCUAAUAAAAUAUUUAUUCAAAAUGUC